rnacentral:lncRNA from 1 species
CUUACAGGGCAGCAAGCCAGCCAGUGCAGGCAAGCAGACUGGCAGACAAGACAGACAGAUUCACCCUAGGGUAACUUUAGCUCCUUGCACAGGUACAGAUGGGCCAUCUAGCCAACACCCUGGAACACUUUCUCGGCCUGCUUCACAGCAGGAGGGCAGAAACUUAAGACCCACUCUUGGUGAAACUUCACUGGCCAAAAAGGAAAACUAAGAUCUAGAACUGAGAGGCCCAGAUAGGCCCAGCCUCAGUCCUCUCUAGUGAUGCGAGAGCAAACUCUCCUACAGUGGUCUCCCCAGUUACUUCAUCUCAGAGGAGCCACUUAAAAAAGGAGGUAAACUACUAAAAUUAGCUAAAAACUCCCUGAAACUGAACAGAUUCACUAGGCUCCUCCCUGCCAGAGUAAACUAUAAAAGCUGAGAGUCCCUCUCAGAAGGGGAAAAAAAGCUGAGCCACAAAGGCAGAAAGGAGAACUGCAAAGACUCAGACCAGAACAGCUGCCUAGAAGAAUACCAACCAUGCUGCCUACAAGAGGUGUAGGCCUGAGAGUCACUGGGAAAGGAUCUCCCCAACUUGUUGAGCUGCCUGCAGGCUGUUCAGUGACCUCCAGGUUCCCAGUUCUGAGCUGUGACCCAUGCUGGGGUGGGCCAUGGUGAUGCAGCUGUCUUUUGAGUCAUUUCUGCUCCUGAUCCCAUCUUGGUGGCUGGCUGAACAGCCUGGAAUUCAUUAUGCAAACUCAGCAGGCCUUGAACUCAAAGUGAUUCACCUAUCUCUGCUUCCCAAGUGCUGGGAUUAAAGUGGGCCAGGUGCGUCUGUGAAACCUGGGCGGCGCUGAAACUCACACCUGCUUUUGUCUUCCGAGUACGAGGACUAAAGAUGGGUACCACCAUGCUCAUCCUCAGGUAUUCAGAGCAGAAACCAUGCCACUCAGCUGUGCCCCGGAUGCUGAUAGCUGAUCUGCCCUCUGUCAACUCAUCACCCCAGAUGUGUCCCGUGCCUCCUGUUUACUAAACAAUGAAUUAAUCAUC